CCUCUUCAAGAGCAUGAGGGCAUCCCAUAUCUUCUUGCAGGUCUUAGUCCUGAUUAUGAUUCUUUUGUCACCUCUGUUACAACCAGAGUUGAUCUACUAUCCUUAGAUGAGAUUUAUGACCACCUCUUUAGUGAUGC